GACGAACGCUGGCGGCGUGCUUAACACAUGCAAGUCGAGCGGUAAGGCCCUUUCGGGGGUACGACGAGCGGCGAACGGGUGAGUAACACGUGGGUGACCUGCCCUCAGCUCUGGGAUAAGCCUGGGAAACCGGGGUCUAAUACUGGAUAUGACUCCAUGACGCAUGUUGUGGGGUGGAAAGCCUUGUGCGGCUGAGGAUGGGCCCGCGGCCUAUCAGCUUGUUGGUGGGGUGAUGGCCUACCAAGGCGACGACGGGUAGCCGGCCUGAGAGGGCGACCGGCCACACUGGGACUGAGACACGGCCCAGACUCCUACGGGAGGGCAGCAGUGGGGAAUCUUGCGCAAUGGGCGAAAGCCUGACGCAGCGACGCCGCGUGAGGGAU
rnacentral:rRNA from 1 species